GGAGCAUAGCUCAGCUGGGAGAGCAUCUGCCUUACAAGCAGAGGGUCACAGGUUCGAGCCCUGUUGUUCC
rnacentral:tRNA from 1 species